CGGUAAUUCCAGCUCCAAUAGCGUAUAUUAAAGUUGUUGCAGUUAAAAAGCUCGUAGUUGAAUUUCUGAUAGAAGGGAGCGGUUCCGCAUUCUUGCGGAUACUGGCUCGUCUUCCGUCAUCCUUGGGCUUAGUCUCGCUGAUAUUAACUUAUCGGCGUGUACGAUGCCCAUCGUUUACUGUGGGCAAAUUAGAGUGUUCAAAGCAGGCAUUUUGCCAUUGAAUAUAUUAGCAUGGAAUAAUAAGAUAGGAUUUCACGAUUUUAUUUUGUUGGUUUGCGUUGUGAAAUAAUGAUUAAGAGGGACAGUUGUGGGUAUUCGUAUUCAGAUGUCAGAGGUGAAAUUCUUAGAUUAUCGGAAGACGAACGACUGCGAAAGCAUUUACCAAGGAUGUUUUCAUUAAUCAAGAACGAAAGUAUGGGGAUCGAAGAUGAUUAGAUACCAUCGUAGUCUAUACCAUAAACUAUGCCGACUCAGGAUCGGCGGGUCAAUUUUUUUUGCUCGUCGGCACUGUAUGAGAAAUCAAAGUCUUUGGGUUCCGGGGGGAGUAUGGUCGCAAGGCUGGAACUUAAAGAAAUUGACGGAAGGGCACCACCAGGAGUGGAACCUGCGGCUUAAUUUGACUCAACACAGGAAAACUUAUCAGGUCCAGACAUAAUGAGGAUUGACAGAUUGAGAGCUCUUUCUUGAUUUUAUGGGUGGUGGUGCAUGGCCGUUCUUAGUUGGUGGAGUGAUUUGUCUGGUUAAUUCCGUUAACGAACGAGACCCCAGCCUGCUAAAUAAUCACGCGAAUGAUUCUUCAUUGGCGAUGGUUUCUUAGAGGGACAUGUUCGAACAACGAACAGGAGGAUUGGGGCAAUAACAGGUCUGUGAUGCCCUUAGAUGGUCUGAACCGCACGCGUGUUACACUGAUGCAUUCAACGAGCUAUUAACCUUGGCCGGGAGGCCUGGGAAAUCUUGGAACGUGCAUCGUGAUAGGGAUUGAUUAUUGCAAUUUUUAAUCAUGAACGAGGAAUUCCUAGUAAACGCAGAUCAUCAAUCUGCAUUGAUUACGUCCCUGCUCCUUGUACACACCGCCC
rnacentral:rRNA from 1 species